UGGAGAGGUCGAGCUUUAUUGUUUUCAUUUUUGAUGGUGUUUAUCGGAUAUUAUAAAAGCUAUAACACCCAAUGACACAUCAAAACUUAGCCCGUUAGGUGGCAAGACACCAACGACACAUGAUCAGUGGUGCAGCACGCAUGCAGCGAAGCUACUUCACUAUAGAUUGGAAACACCAAGUUACGACCAGACAGGAUAGACAACCGGAAGAAGAACCUUUAUGUAUUAUGUAAUUUCACCAAUCCAUUUAAACGUGUAUUUACCAUUGAUUUCAUGAUUAACUCUUGUAAUCCGACCAAAACUGAUAGUACUCCAUCGGAGAGCACCAUUUUUUUUUUGAACUACUGAAAUAUAUACAUUUUGACCAGAAUAAAGAUCAAAAUAUUGAAAAAAGUGAGAAAGGGAUACACUAGUCUGAAAAUUAGAAAUUCAAUUUAAUAUAUUUGGGUUAUUCCAGCAGUUCACCGAUUGUGAAGGACUGGAAACACAAAUGGGGGAAUAACAAUUGAAAACUUCUUAACAUAGCUUUAAUUUCAGUAUAUAAUACUAAGGAUUAGCUAUGAAAGUAAUUAAUAGAUGUAGAUUGGUCAUAUGUAAAAAACAAUAUAGGAUUAGCCUUUAAUAUUCUCUUGUUCUGUUUGGCUAAGAAUUCAUGACAAAUUUAAGGAAUCAAAUGAGGUUCAUCAUACAGAUUAUGCAAAAGAUAGGGAUUACUUAAACGUAUGCGAAUGAAACAUUAUAAAAUUCUGCUUGAAAACACGAAUAAUUGUAAAAUGUGUUUAGCUCUUGAGGAUACCCAGAGUAUGUCUUCAGCUCAUGAUCAAUCAUAUAUAAGUUCAUGAUCAAUCAUAUAUAAGCUCAUGAUCACAUACGACGUUCAUGGUACAAAUCCAUGCAUUCAAAUACUAAUUGAUAGGGGUAUAUCAUGAAUCGGAUGCUAUCAAUAUGGAAGAAAUCACUUUCACUAUUAAAACUUUUCAUUUUUACCCCAAUCUUUAUUUUUAUAGAAUGACAUUCCAAAAUGCAAAGGAAAAACGACCAGUAAAGAAAUCAUGGUAAAACUUUUCAAUUAUUAUCAGAAAAUAGAAUAAGGAUCCAAAUUCCUAUCAAAUGUGCCAAUAAAAAUUACCAAUGGGGACAUCAAUCUUUUACAAUUCUUCUUGAUUUCAUGCUGUGAACCAAAUGUUGUUUUUUAGAUAAUUUUUUUCUUUCAUAUUGAUAGCAUCCGAUUUGAAAUAAAAAACAACUUCAAUGCAACAAAACAUUGUACAAUACAUACCUAGAAUAGAAGAGAAAAGCAUUGGAAGAUGAAGCCACCGGAAGUUUAAAAAAACCCAAACAAAAAAGAGAAAACAGAAAUGAAUUACCUGUUAAGAUGAAGCCACCGGAAGUCGACGAAAAGAUGAAGCCACCGGAGGUCGCGGUCGCCGAUGCUGGAAGGGAUUAGGAAGGAGAAAUCGGAAAAACGGGAUUGGGUUGGGAGAAAUCAAAAAUCGGGAGGGAAGGAGUUUAGGGAUUUAAUUUUUUUUGGGUUUAAAUGUUUAAUUUAGGGGUUUGGGAUAUUUUAUUUGGGUUUUAAAAACUUUUUU
rnacentral:lncRNA from 1 species